UCAAAAGCAACGGCGUUCUUGGCGGCGACGUGUGGUGGGGACACCGGGUGAAGUUUGAAAACGCUUUUUAGUUUUCUUUUGAGCUGCCUUUGUCAUUCUUCUUCAAAACACCGACAAUCGACCGAAAGAUGCGCAUGUAGUUAUCCAAAACUAGUAGGGUGCUUAGCGAAUAGAGGAUACUUGUAGAGUACAAAAUCUUCAAAAAAAAUCCAAUGUAAACUUUGACGGACUCAUCUAUUAGGUAUGGACUUUUUUUUUAAUUGGUGUUUUUUGUCGCUCUUAAAGGUCCGGUAGCAGCUGAAGACAACCGGAAAGCCUUCCGACGGAAGUCAUUCAAAAUAUGCAUUUCUGUUGCUUUAAUACAGCCAGUCGAGCCUGCAGAGGCACAGCAAGGCAGGAAUUUGGCAAUACUUUACUGUCGCGACAGUAGGACGCCACUCCUAGUUGUAGUGAACUGUCAAACCAAACAAAGAGAAAUACACUCGGCCCCCUGCUAGCCUCUCGCUAAUUAGCAUCUGUUUUAGCGGUGCCUCAAGUCUGUGAGCGACGGACUGAACGAACACAAACGGUUCAGCAACACGGAGAGGGACAAUAAAACUGCACUCACAGUCCCACUCCUCACCCGAGCAACAAGUUGCAAUGGGAAGUGUGACUUAGAACUUGCUGAACUUGUAAGCUGGGGCGGAGGCCAUCGUUUUCAUCUUUUUAUGGAGUUAAAGGGCCGGUAGCAUCUGCAGACAUCCAAGAAGGCGCUCCGGUAGUUGCUGUUCAUCCAGCCGUAGAGGAUGGGGUUGACGAAGGUGGAGCACAUGGCCACCACGUGGAAGGCGCUGAAGAGCAGCUUGAAGUCGUCCAUGUAGACCACGCGGCUGUCGAUGUCCACGGCCAGCUGAAAGGCGUGCAGCGGCAGCCAGCUGACGGCGAAGACGGCCACCACCGUCAUCAGCAUCUUGGUGGUCUUGCGACGGCGGCGGUGGGCGCGCGACAGGCGGCUGGCGUUCAUCUGGCUCCAGGUUGCGAUGAAGACGACGAGAAGGCUGAAAGAGGACACUGCGCAGAGUGAAAGCUUCGUCUCCGCUCAGAAGCCGUGUGAAAAUGUGGCGAUUUCCUUGCUGCAUGUCUCAGCCCACCCCCACUCCCACC